CACAAGCGGUGGAUGAUGUGGUUUAAUUCGAUGCAACGCGAAAACCUUACCACCUUUGACAUGUACGGAACUCGCCAGAGAUGGCUUGGUGCUCGAAAGAGAACCGUAACACAGGUGCUGCAUGGCUGUCGUCAGCUCGUGUCGUGAGAUGUUGGGUUAAGUCCCGCAACGAGCGCAACCCUUGUCAUUAGUUGCUACAUUUAGUUGGGCACUCUAAUGAGACUGCCGGUGACAAGCCGGAGGAAGGUGGGGAUGACGUCAAGUCCUCAUGGCCCUUAUAGGUGGGGCUACACACGUCAUACAGUGGCUGGUACAGAGGGUUGCCAACCCGCGAGGGGGAGCUAAUCCCAUAAAGCCAGUCGUAGUCCGGAUCGUAGUCUGCAACUCGACUACGUGAAGUCGGAAUCGCUAGUAAUCGUGGAUCAGAAUGUCACGGUGAAUACGUUCCCGGGUCUU
rnacentral:rRNA from 1 species